AUGAUAUGGAAGCUUGCAGAGACUGGAAUGAAUGUUGCGCGUAUGAAUAUGUCCCAUGGUGACCACCAGUCACACCAAAAAGUGAUUGAUUUGGUCAAGGAGUACAACGCAGAGAACACUGAUGGCAACACUAUUGCUAUUAUGCUGGACACAAAGGGUCCGGAAGUGCGAAGUGGGGAUCUUCCUGAGCCAAUCAUGCUUGCAGAAGGUCAAGAGUUCAAUUUCACGAUUAAAAGAGGGGUGAGCACCGAAGACACUGUCAGUGUGAAUUACGAUGACUUCAUAAGCGAUGUUGAAGCUGGUGACAUACUGUUGGUGGAUGGAGGAAUGAUGUCGCUUGCUGUGAAGUUGAAAACAGCUGACACAGUCAAGUGUGUAGUAGUCGAUGGUGGGGAGUUGAAAUCAAGGCGCCACCUUAAUGUGCGCGGAAAGAGCGCAACUCUGCCAUCUAUAACAGAGAAGGAUUGGGAAGAUAUCAAGUUUGGUGUCGAAAAUGGUGUUGAUUUCUAUGCUGUUUCGUUUGUGAAGGAUGCCAAAGUUAUUCAUGAACUCAAGGCUUACCUGAAAAGUGCUAAUGCGGAUAUACAUGUUAUUCCAAAAAUUGAGAGUGCUGAUUCAAUCCCAAACCUCCAGUCCAUUAUUGCUGCUUCAGAUGGGGCAAUGGUGGCUCGUGGAGAUCUUGGUGCUGAACUUCCAAUUGAGGAAGUUCCUUUACUACAGGAGGAGAUUAUCAGAACAUGCCGAAGCAUGCAGAAACCAGUAAUUGUUGCAACAAAUAUGUUAGAAAGCAUGAUAGAUCAUCCAACUCCAACAAGGGCUGAAGUCUCUGAUAUAGCCAUUGCUGUUCGGGAAGCUGCUGAUGCCAUUAUGCUAUCUGGUGAAACUGCCCACGGGAAGUACCCAUUGAAGGCAGUAAAGGUGAUGCACACUGUGGCACUUAGAACAGAAUCCAGCCUAUACGACCCAGCUAAAGCUCCCAGUCUUGUUGCACGUCCAAAGGCGCUGCUCAACGAUGACUUCUGCAAAAGCCAAUUAAGUAAAAUGUUCGGAUCUCAUGCUACAAUGAUGGCGAACACCCUUCGUACACCGAUCAUUGUGUUUACACGUGUGGGCUCCAUGGCUGUCCUUCUGAGCCACUACCGUCCCUCGUCCACCGUAUAUGCAUUCACUAAUGAAGUACGAGUGAAGCAACGGCUGGCACUCUAUCAGGGCGUGGUUCCUAUUCUCAUGGAGUUCUCAGAUGACGCGGAAGAGACUUUCUCAAGAGCAAUUACCAGCUUGCUGGAUGCGAAAUACAUGAAUGAAGGGGACUAUGUCACCCUGGUUCAGAGCGGGUCGCAGUCGAUCUGGAGAGAGGAAUCUACCCACCACAUACAAGUGAGGAAAGUCCAAUGCUGA
rnacentral:rRNA from 1 species